GACGAACGCUGGCGGCGUGCUUAACACAUGCAAGUCGAACGGAAAGGCCCUGCUUUUGUGGGGUGCUCGAGUGGCGAACGGGUGAGUAACACGUGAGUAACCUGCCCUUGACUUUGGGAUAACUUCAGGAAACUGGGGCUAAUACCGGAUAGGAGCUCCUGCUGCAUGGUGGGGGUUGGAAAGUUUCGGCGGUGGGGGAUGGACUCGCGGCUUAUCAGCUUGUUGGUGGGGUAGUGGCUUACCAAGGCUUUGACGGGUAGCCGGCCUGAGAGGGUGACCGGACACAGUGGGACUGAGAUACGGCCCAGACUCCUACGGGAGGCAGCAGUGGGGAAUAGUGCACAAUGGGCGGAAGCCUGAUGCAGCAACGCCGCGUGCGGGAUGACGGCCUUCGGGUUGUAAACCGCUUUCGCCUGUGACGAAGCGUGAGUGACGGUAAUGGGUAAAGAAGCACCGGCUAACUACGUG
rnacentral:rRNA from 1 species